CUGUUCUGUGUGAUAUUGAUGCCUGGUAUUCUCUUUCUGCAGAUUUGAAGCUCCCUGAGGACAAGAACUCUGUCUCCAGCGAAGCCCAGCACUGGCCAUCCCCAGAGAAAGGGCCAGCUACUGUUCAGGAGCAUGGAUUGUUGAGCUAUUACCACUGGUGUGAGGUGGUAUUUCAUUGUGGCAUCAACUUGCAUUUAUCCAGUAAGUCUUGUUGAGUAUUUCUUCAUAUGUCUGUGGGUCAUCUGUAUGUAAUAUGUCCAUUCUGAUCUUUUGUCCACUUUAAUUUGGGUUGUUUGUUUUUGCUUCACCACUCCAGGUUCGCUUUCAUAGAAAGAGACAAGAAACACCACAGCACUGAAGCUAGCCCCUGCCCUGUGAGGGCAGGAUCAGGGGAUUGAACAGGGCAGCAUAAGCAAGCAUGCUAUAAGGUGAACUAUCUCAUUGGUCUUUUUUUAACUCUGUGAAAACUGUAGUGGUCUCUGUAGUGAGUUGUACACACACGCGUACACAUGUGUGAAACUAUAAAAUUUCAAAAAGUGACAAUAUUGUAAAUCAAUAAUUAAAAAAUAAAUUGAG